rnacentral:sRNA from 1 species
GGAUUUGGUAAUGUGGGCCUACACUCUAUGAGAUAUUUACAUCGUUUUGGUGCUAAAUGUAUUGCUGUUGGUGAGUCUGAGGGGAGUAUAUGGAAUCCAGAUGGUAUUGACCCAAAGGAACUGGAAGACUUCAAAUUGCAACAUGGGUCCAUUCUGGGCUUCCCCAAGGCAAAGCCCUAUGAAGGAAGCAUCUUGGAGGCCGACUGUGACAUACUGAUCCCAGCUGCCAGUGAGAAGCAGUUGACCAAAUCCAACGCACCCAGAGUCAAAGCCAAGGUGACAACAUUAUAGAAACCAGAACCAACAUUAUCAAUGUGAAUGACGUUAGGGGGGUCAUAGAAGAGUCUGAUUGAGUUUUCUCUUUCUUUUUAGCAGCUUUAUUGGCACAUACUGCACAUACCAUACAGUUCCCCCAUUUAAGGUACAUAAUUUAAUGGCUUUUAGCUACCGGCACAGAGUUGUGCAACCAUUACCAAAACAAACGCAUCUGCCUGACACUCCUG